AAACCAUAUUCCACACCAUGGACUACAGAAAGCGUAAAAAUCAUAGAAAUCAUCUCAGCCAAAAACCCAACUUUGGUUAAUUUAGAAGAAGCUAACGAGACAACCAAUUCAAAACAAUCCCGUGUCUUACUGGGUCAGUCUAGUUUCCUGAACCAGCUCUAAUGACAAUUAAAACACCCCAAUAAUUUAUAAUAAAAAAGCCCCAAAUUUCAAUUCUUUUGCUACCAAAUCUCAGCAACCAAACCAAGUUUUACCAGCUCGAGUCUUGACUGCUGAGGAUCAAAGUUUAAACUAAAUAAAUCAGCAAAUUAUCAUUUGCCAACAUAGAAAUUUUCCCCCUUCCUAUUUAAAAAAUAUAUUAUGUUAGGUAGGGAAUAGAAUCAAUAGAUUACGUUUCCAUUGCUUAAGAAUUUUCUGAACUCAGCCACGAAAUAAUAAAAAUACAGAAAAAAAGCAAAUAAUAAAUAAUAAUCCUCCAAAUGAAAAUUGAAUUUCCUCCUAGUUUCUCCUAAGCCAAACAAGAUCGUUUCAGUAGCAGAUCUGAGCUAAAAUAUCACCAAAAAGAAUUCACUCAAAAAAGGACGAAACAACAAAUUUAAAUUGGAACAUAAAUGCAAACAGAAAAUUGAAGAACACCAAAAUAAUAAUAAUAAAAAAA
rnacentral:misc_RNA from 1 species